AUAAACAACAGCAGUGCAAAGAACACAUCUGCUUCAGACGCCCUUGCACUUGUUGUUUGCAUAAUGCAACUAAUUACAUUGGCUUUUUUUUACUAAAGGAUCCGAGUUCCUCCAACCAUUUAUCAGUGCUUAAUUCAGUCGUACAGUAUACAUUCAUUAUGCAGUUAGAAGCUUACGUGUGCAUGUGCUCCAAUUAGCGGUGAGGACAU